AUUGAACGCUGGCGGCAUGCUUUACACAUGCAAGUCGAACGGUAACAGGGUGCUUGCACCGCUGACGAGUGGCGAACGGGUGAGUAAUGCGUCGGAACGUGCCGAGUAGUGGGGGAUAACGCAGCGAAAGUUGUGCUAAUACCGCAUACGUACUGAGGUAGAAAGUGGGGGACCUUCGGGCCUCACGCUAUUCGAGCGGCCGACGUCUGCUUAGCUAGUAGGUGAGGUAAAGGCUCACCUAGGCGACGAUCAGUAGCGGGUCUGAGAGGAUGAUCCGCCACACUGGGACUGAGACACGGCCCAGACUCCUACGGGAGGCAGCAGUGGGGAAUUUUGGACAAUGGGCGAAAGCCUGAUCCAGCCAUGCCGCGUGUCUGAAGAAGGCCUUCGGGUUGUAAAGGACUUUUGUCGGGGAGGAAAUCCCCAGCGUUAAUACCGCUGGGGGAUGACAGUACCUGAAGAAUAAGCACCGGCUAACUACGUGCGAGCCGCCGCAGUAAAAC
rnacentral:rRNA from 1 species